rnacentral:rRNA from 1 species
UAAGCGGAGGAAAAGAAACCAACAGGGAUUGCCUCAGUAACGGCGAGUGAAGCGGCAAAAGCUCGAAUUUGAAAUCCUCUUCGGAGGAGUUGUAAUUUGAAGCUGGUUCUUUAGGGAGUUUUGUUUUUGGCUGCGGAAGUGCCUUGGAACAGGCCGCCGUGGAGGGUGAGAGCCCCGUAUCGUGGCCAGCAAGAUUUUCGUAUAAGGGCUAGCGAAGAGUCGAGUUGUUUGGGAAUGCAGCUCUAAGUGGGUGGUAUAUUCCAUCUAAGGCUAAAUAUGGGCGAGAGACCGAUAGCAAACAAGUACAGUGAUGGAAAGAUGAAAAGAACUUUGAAAAGAGAGUGAAAAAGUACGUGAAAUUGUUGAAAGGGAAGGGUAUUUGAUCCGACAUGGUAUUUAGAUGUCGCUUGCCCCCGUGGCGGGCGCUCCAUCUUUUUACUGGGCCAGCAUCGGUGCUGGGCGGGACAGGAGGUUUCUGUGAAUGUAGCCCUUCGGGGAACUUAUAGAACAGGAUUCAUACGUCUCUCCCCGGUACCGAGGACUGCGGGAAACCAAGGAUGCUGGCAUAACGAGCAAAUACCGCCCGUCUUGAA